AUUGAACGCUGGCGGCAUGCCUUACACAUGCAAGUCGAACGGCAGCGGGGACUUCGGUCCGCCGGCGAGUGGCGAACGGGUGAGUAAUGUAUCGGAACGUACCAUUGAGUGGGGGAUAACGUAGCGAAAGUUACGCUAAUACCGCAUAUUCUCUCCGGAGGAAAGCAGGGGACCGCAAGGCCUUGCGCUCUUUGAGCGGCCGAUAUCAGAUUAGCUAGUUGGUGAGGUAAAGGCUCACCAAGGCGACGAUCUGUAGCGGGUCUGAGAGGAUGAUCCGCCAGACUGGAACUGAGACACGGUCCAGACUCCUACGGGAGGCAGCAGUGGGGAAUUUUGGACAAUGGGGGCAACCCUGAUCCAGCCAUGCCGCGUGAGUGAAGAAGGCCUUCGGGUUGUAAAGCUCUUUCGGCCGGGAAAAAAUCGCAUGGGCUAAUAUCCUGUGUGGAUGAUGGUACCGGAAUAAGAAGCACCGGCUAACUACGUGCCAGCAGCCGCAGUAACAC
rnacentral:rRNA from 1 species